UACCUCCUCCAUGAAGCUCCCUAUCCCC
rnacentral:piRNA from 1 species